GACGAACGCUGGCGGCGUGCCUAAUACAUGCAAGUAGAACGCAGUUGCGAACGGGUGAGUAACGCGUAGGUAACUGCCUCAUAGCGGGGGAUAACCAUUGGAAACGUUAGCUAAUACCGCAUACUGUGAGAUGGACCUGCGUUGUAUUAGCUUGUUGGUGAGGUAAAGGCUCACCAAGGCGACGAUCCAUAGCCGACCUGAGAGGGGUGACGGGCAAAAUGGGACUAAGAAACGACCCAGAAUCCUACGGGAGGCAGCAGUAGGGGAUCUUCGGCAAUUGAAGGAAGUCUGACCGAACAACAACGCGGGGGUGAAGAUGGGUUUCGGAACGGAAAGCUCUGAUGUGAGGGAAGCGAUAACUGACCAGAAAGAAACGGCUAACUACGUGCCAGCAGCCGCGGUAAUAC
rnacentral:rRNA from 1 species